rnacentral:lncRNA from 1 species
AAUUAUACGCCAACAACCACAGUCGCUAUUCACCACCUUCUGGUUCUCUGUUCGGUCUGCUAAUUUUCUGUCUUUCUCAAAAUCGAUCUUCAUUUUCAUCCUCUAGAUUCUCUUUAGGAAAAUUCUAAUCUUCACAUCCACAAAUGGUGAUAUCAAAGCGUGGUCAUAGGUUCUUCAAAUUUAGAAGCCCAUUUUCCAAGCCAGAAUCUUUCUUAUAUACUGUGAUAUACAACUAUUAAAACUUCUCUUGCAUUAUUUCUGGCUGCGCACCAUUAUUAUUGCUUUCCAAACUACUUGUCUUUUUAUAGCUUCUAUCUUUAAACAAUCAACGACAGAGAGAGAUGAUUGCUCAGCAGGAUUUCGAAUACUACUCACGGGCUGUGGUGGAAAUGGCUUGGAUCAUGCUAAGUGUAGAUUACUCAAGGCUGUUUUGGUUACUCUUCGGUGUUUUUUCAUACGAAAAUCACGAGGGGAAGCCUCGGAUCAUCUAGCACUACUCUUACAUUUCCUUUUUUAAAUCUUACUUUUCUAGUAAUUCCGCUCUCGAUAGAAAUAGUUGAAAGUAAUUUCGCCGAUUCGGUUAAUUAUAUUUUGUGCGAAGGUUUUCAAACGAUUUGCGUGGCGAUGUUGAAGGCGAGUCCUCGAUUAGGAGCAUCUGUAAAUCAGUACGUGGAAGCCGAUCCAUCUGGUCGCUAUGGUCGUGUAAGUAAUUCGUCUAAUCAUUCUGUUUGGAUUCUCCUCUUGCCUAGUGAUUAUUAUCAUUGAUGUAAUGUUUUGUUGACAAACAGAUUAGGGUUUUUAUUCAUGAAUAUUUAUAAGAAUCGCAUGCAUGUCCUUGUAUGUCAAUCUGAUAUAUGUUCUUGCCUCUGUUAGUUUCAUUGCCCAUCAAGAUUAAACCAUUUUUGGUUAAUUUCUUGGCAUUAUUAAAUCAACUGGGGUGGUUUAUCUUAGCGCAGUUGCCGAUGAUAGAAGGGAGAGAAUUCACUUGACAAAAUUCAAGAAAUUUUCAUCAUAAUAUCAUUUUAUGCAG